rnacentral:rRNA from 2 species
UUAUGGAGAGUUUGAUCCUGGCUCAGGAUGAACGCUGGCGGCGUGCCUAAUACAUGCAAGUCGAGCGAACGGACGAGAAGCUUGCUUCUCUGAUGUUAGCGGCGGACGGGUGAGUAACACGUGGAUAACCUACCUAUAAGACUGGGAUAACUUCGGGAAACCGGAGCUAAUACCGGAUAAUAUUUUGAACCGCAUGGUUCAAAAGUGAAAGACGGUCUUGCUGUCACUUAUAGAUGGAUCCGCGCUGCAUUAGCUAGUUGGUAAGGUAACGGCUUACCAAGGCAACGAUGCAUAGCCGACCUGAGAGGGUGAUCGGCCACACUGGAACUGAGACACGGUCCAGACUCCUACGGGAGGCAGCAGUAGGGAAUCUUCCGCAAUGGGCGAAAGCCUGACGGAGCAACGCCGCGUGAGUGAUGAAGGUCUUCGGAUCGUAAAACUCUGUUAUUAGGGAAGAACAUAUGUGUAAGUAACUGUGCACAUCUUGACGGUACCUAAUCAGAAAGCCACGGCUAACUACGUGCCAGCAGCCGCGGUAAUACGUAGGUGGCAAGCGUUAUCCGGAAUUAUUGGGCGUAAAGCGCGCGUAGGCGGUUUUUUAAGUCUGAUGUGAAAGCCCACGGCUCAACCGUGGAGGGUCAUUGGAAACUGGAAAACUUGAGUGCAGAAGAGGAAAGUGGAAUUCCAUGUGUAGCGGUGAAAUGCGCAGAGAUAUGGAGGAACACCAGUGGCGAAGGCGACUUUCUGGUCUGUAACUGACGCUGAUGUGCGAAAGCGUGGGGAUCAAACAGGAUUAGAUACCCUGGUAGUCCACGCCGUAAACGAUGAGUGCUAAGUGUUAGGGGGUUUCCGCCCCUUAGUGCUGCAGCUAACGCAUUAAGCACUCCGCCUGGGGAGUACGACCGCAAGGUUGAAACUCAAAGGAAUUGACGGGGACCCGCACAAGCGGUGGAGCAUGUGGUUUAAUUCGAAGCAACGCGAAGAACCUUACCAAAUCUUGACAUCCUUUGACAACUCUAGAGAUAGAGCCUUCCCCUUCGGGGGACAAAGUGACAGGUGGUGCAUGGUUGUCGUCAGCUCGUGUCGUGAGAUGUUGGGUUAAGUCCCGCAACGAGCGCAACCCUUAAGCUUAGUUGCCAUCAUUAAGUUGGGCACUCUAAGUUGACUGCCGGUGACAAACCGGAGGAAGGUGGGGAUGACGUCAAAUCAUCAUGCCCCUUAUGAUUUGGGCUACACACGUGCUACAAUGGACAAUACAAAGGGCAGCGAAACCGCGAGGUCAAGCAAAUCCCAUAAAGUUGUUCUCAGUUCGGAUUGUAGUCUGCAACUCGACUACAUGAAGCUGGAAUCGCUAGUAAUCGUAGAUCAGCAUGCUACGGUGAAUACGUUCCCGGGUCUUGUACACACCGCCCGUCACACCACGAGAGUUUGUAACACCCGAAGCCGGUGGAGUAACCUUUUAGGAGCUAGCCGUCGAAGGUGGGACAAAUGAUUGGGGUGAAGUCGUAACAAGGUAGCCGUAUCGGAAGGUGCGGCUGGAUCACCUCCUUU